rnacentral:rRNA from 1 species
UACGUAGGGUGCGAGCGUUAAUCGGAAUUACUGGGCGUAAAGCGUGCGCAGGCGGUUUUGUAAGCCAGAUGUGAAAGCCCCGGGCUUAACCUGGGAAUGGCAUUUGGGACUGCAAGGCUGGAGUGUGGCAGAGGAGACUGGAAUUCCUGGUGUAGCAGUGAAAUGCGUAGAUAUCAGGAGGAAUACCGGUGGCGAAGGCGGGUCUCUGGGCCGAAACUGACGCUGAGGAGCGAAAGCGUGGGGAGCAAACAGG